GAUGAACGCUGGCGGCAUGCCUAAUACAUGCAAGUCGAACGGUAAGGCUCUUCGGUGCACCUGUGAGGCGGUCGGCUGAGUAACACGAAGGAAUACAUCCCGUAGCUGGGGAUAAGACAUAGCUAGGUGUUCCAAUACCGAAUACGGCAUUCGAAUUAAAACAUUUUUGUGUUGAAGGAGUGGCUUGCGUCAUAUCAGAGAGUUGGUGAGGUAAUGGCUCUUCAAGUGGUAGAUGUGUAGCUGGUCUGCGAGGAUGAUCCACCAGACUGGAACUGGGACACGUUCCAGACUCCUACGAAAGGCAGCAGUGAGGAAUAUUUCACAAUGAGCGAGAGCUUGAUGGAGCAGUGCCGCGUACAGGAUGAAGACCCGCAGAUUGUAAGCUGCUUUUAUAGGAGAAGAUUGUGACGGUAACUUAUGAGUAAGGGACGGCUAACUACGUG
rnacentral:rRNA from 1 species